rnacentral:rRNA from 1 species
UACGUAGGGUGCAAGCGUUGUCCGGAAUUAUUGGGCGUAAAGAGCUCGUAGGCGGUUUGUUGCGUCGGCUGUGAAAUCCCGAGGCUCAACCUCGGGUCUGCAGUCAUACGAGCAAACUAGAGUGUUGCAGGGGAGACUGGAAUUCCCGGUGUAGCGGUGAAAUGCGCAGAUAUCGGGAAGAACACCCGUGGCGAAGGCGGGUCUCUGGGGCCGAUACUGACGUGAGGAGCGAAAGCAUGGGGUAGCGAAACAGG